rnacentral:rRNA from 1 species
ACAUACGACCAUAGGGUGUGGAAAACAGGGCUUCCCGUCCGCUCAGCCGUACUUAAGCCACACGCCGGGAGGUUAGUAGUUGGGUGGGUGACCACCAGCGAAUCCCUU